GGCAGACUUAGAAAGGAUAAAAGACGCGGGCAUGGGGCGUGUGGACGUUACUGUAGGAAGUGCUUUGGAUAUUUUUGGAGGAAAUAUGGCAUACAAGGAUGUCGUUGCAUGGCAUGCCAGGCAGAAGGUAUCAGCAGUUUAGUACCCUCUUGUUGUUUGCAUAAUUUUGUUUACAUUUAGGAAAGUGCCUUGUUAGUCACAACCGAU
rnacentral:misc_RNA from 1 species